UAGGAGCUGCGUUGAUUGCUCUGACCUGUCAAUGGGCAAGAGCUGCAAAGCCAGCAGGAGAGCACGUUCUGAUGCCUGUAGUUAAAUAACAGCACCUCAGGAGAGCACAUAUAUGAAAUAUUUGAAAGCUGAAAGGUCACUCUCAAUGAAUCUCCCCUUUCUUGGGAGCAAGAGCUGCCAUUUCCCAGGCACUCCUCUGGCUGGGCAGGCUGUACCACAGCGGCCUGGGCUCCAGGCCACUUCAGAAGAGGAGGUAUUUUCAUAGAUAUGAGCUUUUCUCUAUAAUGUAUCCAACUUAAAGCAACACCGAACUUCUGGCAGAAAUUUUAAACAACCCCAAGGGGUGGAAGUUCUUUAAACCAGCAGUAAGGCCCACCUGCCUUUUCACACAGGUUCACCGAGGUCUCGCACUCUCCCUUCUGGGACCAAGGGCCUCCAAAGACCACCCACAGCAAACAUGCAGUGCUCCUGGCAAAAUGGAGAAAAGAAAAGGAAGAACUCACAGGAAAAAAAUACAUUAUGAAGAACUAGGAUUUUCUGUAAAGACUACAACAGUCUUUACAGACUGUUAUAACAGACUAGCACCUAACAAGGUCACUACAGAGCUGCUGUCAGUGUGGAGAAGCCUCACUCACAGGGCAGAGCCAGGGUCUGACCUGGAGGCUUUGGAGCUUGACAGGACAGCACGGGGAGGAGCACCCACGCAGUCCUGGGCUGUGAGAAGCCUUGCCUGAGCCCAGGGACACCGAGGAGCUGGACACAGCUCAGGGACUGCACAUCCUGAACAGCCAGCACACACUCACCUGCUGGGAACACUCCUUGGAAGGGCAUUGUCUGCCUGUAAAGCUGCAAGGAAAAAAUAAAAAAAUCAGCCCACGUUUUUUCCUCAGUUUCUUUCAGUUAGGUGAGUGAAGUCUAAAUGCAUCUGGACAUGAACACAUCUUUAUCAGGCAGAUUAAUUGGAGGGAUAUUUUCAAAAACUUAUCAACAAAAUAUAGGGGUGUUUGGCAGGCAUUAAGGAUGGCUUCGGACACUUCUGCCUUCAGAAAGUAGAACAUUUGAACAGAAUAGGAGAAAAAGGGUCAUGUCCAGCAAAUGAAAGUAUCUGUAAUGGUACAAUCAGUCUGAACCAGAAAACUGCAGAAAUCCUGUGCACAAAAGAGAACAGUUCUGCUUCAAAUGACAACCUGUCAAAAAAGGUGCUGCCUCCCUAAACAUAUCAGAGAGAGAUUUAGCUUUAAAAUUAUUGAACAAGAAAAGAGCCAAGAAGGGGAGAGGAGGCUGCUAUGAUGGAACAUGCAGUAACAGUGAUCUUAGGGAACAGGUACCAGCUAUUCCCAAGGGAUUAACAACUACAGCAGAGCCACAGUGACAGGCAAGGAGCCAAGCAUGGUAAAGAAGAUAGAUGGAAAGCUUCCAAGGUCUAGUGAUCAUGGUAAUAUUACUUCUAAAUUUUCCUGAGGUAAUAUUAACUUCUAAAUGUUCAGAAAAAGCAAUUCUAAUUUAUUAAGACUUCUUAAGAAAUCCACACUUGAAUGCAAGCAAUAGAAAACUGAUAGUAAUCAAUUGUUUUCUACAACAAAAAAGCAUUUAACUCAUGGUUAAAGACAGAGCUAUAGUCAGCCUGCAAACCACACAUGAGUAAUUUUUGAGGACUUAAAUCACUCAAACCUUAAUCACAAUUCAUGCUGAAAUUUCUGCAAGUUGAGUUUUGUGGCUGUCUCAGUACACACCUAAAGCAUCAUAAAACCUGUAAGAACCAGCAGUAAAUAAAUGAAUGUAUAAAUAGUUGUUUGACAUAAAGGAUCAAAAUUCUUUACAAGCAUUUAGCCCUUGGAUGGAUGAGGCCAACAUCUGAUAAGACAGGAAUAUAUCAAGAAAAGCAGAAUUAAACAUCAAAUUGCAGGACACUUACAGGCAGUACCACCUUUUUCCAAGAGGUCUUGAAAAAGAGAAGCCUGUUCCCCUCUUGAUUCUUUGGGCCAAGCUCACAACACCACCACACUUCUUUUACUGUGAUCAGGUAGGAUUAAGGACCUCAUCUGAAAGCAGCCUUAAUAAGGACUUUUCCUCUGUGCAAUUUACCCACCUAUGUUCUCAAAUUUAAUUCAUAAUAAUUAAUACCCCAUUCCCACAUAAUAUCUGUGAAAAGAGAUUAAAAUAAACAUCACAGAAGUGGACAGCCUUAUUUCUUUGGCAGCACUGAUGGUAAUAGAAACCUCAGAGAUAAUGGUAUCAUUCUCCUCUGCAAGGCCACUCACCAG